GCGAGUCCCAGAGACUGCUCCUGAGUUGAAAAGGGAUUCCCUCGCCAGCACGAGCUCUGAUGGCUUGGGCUCUUUACAAGUAAGUUUAAAAGCGAGAGAGAUGAAAGGGAAAGGUUUAUGUUGUACUGAGAUAUGCUUAGAUAACCUCCAGCAUUCGGAAGAAAACACUGUUAGGGGGCUUUAGGUUGUCUUUUCUUUCUUGACAUGUCUGAGCGCUGUGGCCUUAACCAUUUUUUUUCCUUCAACCUGCUAGAAUUCCCGACGGCCUAAAGUUCUUCAAAGAGAGGUAGAUGUGUAUGGUAUUUGCAUUAACUAGCAACAUGGCUAAUUGGAAAUGAGGAAAAAAAAAAAACACUGAAGUAUUUGUGUGUGUUUGUGUGUGAUUAAUAUAAUUAAAUAAAAAAGAUUUCUCGAAAUUAGUUUUUUACCUUUAAUAAGGUUAUUUAUAUUUAAUUUCAGGUAAAUUUAUGUUAUUGAUCAAAAAAUGCAGAGUGGUUAGUAGUAAAUUUUUCAUUUUAGUGUUAAAAGUGUUCUGGACAGUUUCAGGUGGCCUACUUGUAUCUACUUACAUUAGAAUUUCAAUUGUCUUAUUAACAUCUUAAAAAUGACUAUUCCUAAAUCAAAAUAAAUAUUAUUGCUGGCAGCAUGCCUAUUAAAAAUAUUUUUUUUUCUUUUGCUUCUGUGGCAAUUAACUAAUGAAACAGGCAAUUAACUAAUGAAACAGGCCUAUAAGUACUUGUAUUUCGUCUGUUGUGUUUUGGAACUCAUUGUGAAGACCAGCUCUUUGCAUGUUGCUUAAUUAAUCUUUAAAAUAAAGUGAGAAGUGUAGCGGGAGAGAAGGCUCAGCAGUUAAGAGCACUGUCAUCCCUUCCAGGGGAACUGGGUUCAAUCCCAACACCCACAUACUGGCUCACAGUCC
rnacentral:lncRNA from 1 species